AGUCGGAAGCCGGGGUGUACCUGAAGGUGAUAACCGUAAGGAGUCUACUACAAGGUAAAACCGGUAACUGGGGCU
rnacentral:rRNA from 1 species